CCUUUUGCACCGGUCGUCGACGGGGGGAAAGACACAAAAUGCCGUCAAAUUUAAGGCCUCCACCGUCCUUAGUGACCCGACUUUUUAACAAGAAUCGAUAUACAAGGUUUCUUUACAAUCACUGGCGAAAAAGUUUGGGGAUAUUUGGAGUAACUGGAGCACUAGGAGUUGUGUGGCUUUUUGAUGUCCAGAUGGUCAAUUAUCUCCGAUAUGUCCCUGUCUUUAAGAAGAAGUUCCAGCAUGUACAGUUUGAAGAAACAGAAGCAAAACCUAAAAAAGAGGAGGAGGACGAAUAAUAUUAGUAGAUGAUAGUACAUUAAAUUUUUUGACAUUAUAAAGAGAUCAGCCUUUUCCUCACCAUGGUGAACAAUGUGAUGUGAUGAAAAUAUGUAAAUAAAACUUAAAUAUGUGUUGCUUAUCA